AUGGUGAAUUUUGAAGCCGCGCUUUCAAGCGUGAUCUGUGCUAUGGCAGCAACCUACAGGCUUAUGGUCACUUCUGUGAACUGCUACAGCAGUGUGGUGAUAGACCAGCACUUUCAGCACACUGUGCAUUACUGCACAGGGACUUGCCAAGUGUUUAAGCAAGGACUUAAAUGCAUAGUUGCCCACCACAGUGUGUGUGCAGAGCUCAGUGUCCAAGAUGCCAGCCUAGACCAUAAAAUUCCUGUUUCUGAAAAUGGACUUAGCUUGCCUGGAAAUGAGGACUAUCAGCAAAUCCUCCCAAAUAAUCCAAGGAUCAAGAAGGGCUCUUCAGUGCAAGCCUCGAGCAGUUUAAAAGACAUUACAGGUGAGGCGAUAAACCUUGCCAGUGGUAAAAUAAAGGAAUUCUCCUUUGAAAAGCUCAAAAACUCUUCCAGUCAUGUGGCCUACAGAAAGGGAAGGAAAGUUCGGUCAGAUUCAUUCAGCAGACGAUCAUUUGACUUUGAUUUGAUUUAUGGGCACUUCAACAAUGAUGAGAACUGCCCUCCGUGUGGCUUUUUGCAGAGUCCCUCACCUGUGGAGAAAUGGCAGGAGAGCAAUGAUGCUCCCGAGGUCACCAUGAAUCCCGUGGUUCCCUUCUCCCUUCAUUCCUUCUCUGAAGAAAACUUCAUUACCCAGAUUUUGGAAAAACAUAAGCUAGAUGGUUCUUCUGGUGGAGAUAUUAAGGUGUGCUUAGACAUCUUGCUCAAGUGCUCAGAGGAUCUGAAAAAGUGCACAGACAUAAUAAAACAUUGCAUCAAAAAGAAGACUGCAGGUGGUGUUAGUGGAGGGAACAGCAAUGAUCCCCUGGCUAAUUCAGAGAUGAUAUAUAUGAAUCUGAUGACAAGAUUUUCUUCAUACCUGAAAAAGCUACCCUUUGAGCUCAAGCCACCAGGACACAAGGAAGCUAGUGACUUGGCGGAACUAGUUAACUGUUUUCAUGGCUUGCAGCAAACUCCCUUUUCCCCAGUGUUUGGAGAUGAGCAGCCACCUCGCUAUGAAGAUAUUGUUCAGCUGCCAUCCUCCAGUGCAGUUCCUCACAGACUACCAGGUGAGCAGUGUGAGGUGACAAGCUCCCCUCAGUCCAUCCAGACAAGUACUGUGAGCUUUACCUCAAAUUCCAUUCACGGCAUCCCACCAGAGAACAGUGUGAGAGCUGCAAAAGAUGGUUGUGCUCUACCUCAGUUCCCAGCCACAAGCCCUUCUGACUGCAUGUCUUCUGCCGAGGCUCUGUACAUUGAGGAGGAGUCUGAUGGGGAAAGAACGUUAGGGAAAAUACAGAAGGCAGAGCAGCGAGGAGGCUGGGAGAGCUUAGAGCGCAGCUACCAGCUACCUGGUGGUUUGGAUCUAACUGCCAGUGCUAAAGCAGAACGUGCCAGUGUGGGAGAUGUUGAGCUCUCCCACGCUUCUGAGAAAAUUACUCCAUUAAAACCAAUUUUGGAUUCGGUAUUGUGUGGUUCCCAAGCUGAUGUCUCCAGAGGAGAGCAGAUGUGCAGUAAGAGAGACAAGGAGGAGAUAGAUAAACUGCUGCUGGACUUGGAGUGCUUCUCACAGAAAAUGGAGAGUACUUUGAGGGAGCCCUCUCCGAAGGAGAGUGAACCUGCCUCUUUGCAGGUGUUUGGCUGGCAGGGUAGGCAGGCACUACCUCUGGCUCUUGAGCCUAAAAGUAAACCCGUCGACCCCACUUCCCCUUUGUCAAAAAUCAUGGAAACCAAUGGUCAUAAAAUGGAAGAGGAUGACAAAGCCCUCUUACUGCGUAUCCUGGAAAGCAUUGAGGACUUUGCCCAGGAACUGGUAGAAUUCCAGAAGGGCAAGGGAAGCUUGUCGAAGGAGAGGGAAGUGAUGCAGAUUCUUCAGGAAACUUUAACGACUCCUUCGCAGUCCCUCCUUGCAGGGCAAAAAAGCUAUGCUGGGGCUGCCUCCAGAGACUCUGUUCCGGCUUCAAUUCAGCAGGCCCCAGAGGUGGUUAAG